rnacentral:rRNA from 1 species
GACGAACGCUGGCGGCGUGCCUAAUACAUGCAAGUUGAGCGAUGAAGAUUGGUGCUUGCACCAAUUUGAAGAGCAGCGAACGGGUGAGUAACGCGUGGGGAAUCUGCCUUUGAGCGGGGGACAACAUUUGGAAACGAAUGCUAAUACCGCAUAACAACUUUAAACAUAAGUUUUAAGUUUGAAAGAUGCAAUUGCAUCACUCAAAGAUGAUCCCGCGUUGUAUUAGCUAGUUGGUGAGGUAAAGGCUCACCAAGGCGAUGAUACAUAGCCGACCUGAGAGGGUGAUCGGCCACAUUGGGACUGAGACCCGGCCCAAACUGCUACGGGAGGCAGCAGUAGGGAAUCUUCGGCAAUGGGCGAAAGACUGACCGAGCAACGCCGCGUGAGUGAAGAAGGUUUUCGGAUCGUAAAACUCUGUUGGUAGGGAAGAACGUUGGUGAGAGUGGAAAGCUCAUCAAGUGACGGUAACUACCCAGAAAGGGACGGCUAACUACGUG